CGUCGGUCCCCCCGCAACGAUAAGCUGCGAACCCCGCCAGGCCCGGAAGGGAGCAACGGUAGCAGUGGACU
rnacentral:SRP_RNA from 1 species